rnacentral:rRNA from 1 species
GACGAACGCUGGCGGCGUGCUUAACACAUGCAAGUCGAACGAAGUGGCGAACGGGUGAGUAACGCGUAAUCAACCUGCCCUUCAGCGGGGGACAACAGUUGGAAACGACUGCUAAUACCGCAUACUGAAGGAGGGGCUUGCGUCUGAUUAGCUAGUUGGAGGGGUAACGGCCUGCCAAGGCGAUGAUCAGUAGCCGGGCUGGGGGGGUGAAAGGGCAAAUUGGGACCGAGAACAGGCCCAGACCCCUACGGGAGGCAGCAGGGGGGAAUCUUUCGCAAUGGACGAAAGGCUGACGGAGCAAAGGCGCGGGAGGGAUGACGGCCUUCGGGUUGGAAAGCUCUGUUAAUCGGGACGCGGUACCGGAAUAGAAAGCCACGGCUAACUACGUGCCAGCAGCCGCGGAAAUUC